rnacentral:rRNA from 1 species
AACGAACGCUGGCGGCAUGCCUAACACAUGCAAGUCGAACGAGACCUUCGGGUCUAGUGGCGCACGGGUGCGUAACGCGUGGGAACCUGCCCUUAGGUUCGGAAUAACUCCCCGAAAGGGGUGCUAAUACCGGAUAAUGUCUUCGGACCAAAGAUUUAUCGCCUUUGGAUGGGCCCGCGUUGGAUUAGCUAGUUGGUAGGGUAAAAGCCUACCAAGGCCACGAUCCAUAGCUGGUCUGAGAGGAUGAUCAGCCACAGUGGGACUGAGACACGGCCCAGACUCCUACGGGAGGCAGCAGUGGGGAAUAUUGGACAAUGGGCGAAAGCCUGAUCCAGCAAUGCCGCGUGAGUGAUGAAGGCCUUAGGGUUGUAAAGCUCUUUUACCCGGGAUGAUAAUGACAGUACCGGGAGAAUAAGCUCCGGCUAACUCCGUG